AAGUCGUAACAAGGUAACCGUAGGUGAACCUGCGGUUGGAUCAUUACUAAAUGAUGGUGCGAUUGGCUUUGGGUUUUCGUAAUCCAAAGUCCGUCCACUAAAUACCUCUGUGCACUGUUGAUAGUAUUUGGGUUUGCUAGAAAAGUCAAAUUUUCGAACCAUACCCGCACUUUAUAAACCCCUUUUAUUUUUGACUGACUUUUGUUUCUAUGAAUCAAAAACAACUUUUAACAACGGAUCUCUUGGCUCUC
rnacentral:misc_RNA from 1 species